GUCGAGAAUCUUUCACAAUGGGGGCAACCCUGAUGGAGCGACGCCGCGUGGAGGAUAAGGUCUUCGGAUUGUAAACUCCUGUCAUGCGUGAACAAGGUUGCUUGGUUAAUACCUGGGCAAAUUGAUGGUAACGCAAGAGGAAGAGACGGCUAACUCUGUGCCAGCAGCCGCGGUAAUACAGAGGUCUCAAGCGUUGUUCGGAAUCACUGGGCGUAAAGGGUGCGUAGGUGGCGUGGUAAGUCAGAUGUGAAAGCCCGGGGCUCAACCUCGGAACUGCAUCCGAUACUGCCAUGCUAGAGUACUGGAGAGGUGACUAGAAUUCUCGGUGUAGCAGUGAAAUGCGUAGAUAUCGAGAGGAAUACCAAUGGCGUAGGCAGGUCACUGGACAGUUACUGACACUGAGGCACGAAGGCCAGGGGAGCGAACGGGAUUAGAAACCCUUGUAGUCC
rnacentral:rRNA from 1 species